AUUUUACAAAUAUGGCGGUCGAGAUAAUGUUUACAUUCUGUGGGUCAUAACCCACAGAAUGUAAACAUUAUCUCGACCGCCAUAUUUGUAAAAUGU